rnacentral:rRNA from 1 species
AUUCCUACGGGAGGCAGCAGUAGGGAAUCUUCCGCAGUGGACGAAAGUCUGACGGAGCAACGCCGCGUGAGUGAAGAAGGUUUUCGAAUCGUAAAACCCUGUUGUUAAAGAAGAACAAGGAUGAGAGUAACUGCUCAUCCCCUGACGGUAUUUAACCAGAAAGCCACGGCUAACUACGUGCCAGCAGCCGCGGUAAUACGUAGGUGGCAAGCGUUGUCCGGAUUUAUUGGGCGUAAAGCGAGCGCAGGCGGUUCUUUAAGUCUGAUGUGAAAGCCCCCGGCUCAACCGGGGAGGGUCAUUGGAAACUGGAGAACUUGAGUGCAGAAGGGGAGAGUGGAAUUCCACGUGUAGCGGUGAAAUGCGUAAAUAUGUGGAGGAACACCAGUGGCGAAGGCGACUCUCUGGUCUGUAACUGACGCUGAGGCUCGAAAGCGUGGGAAGCAAACAGGAUUAGAUACCCUGGUAGUCCACGCCGUAAACGAUGAGUGCUAAGUGUUGGAGGGUUUCCGCCCUUCAGUGCUGCAGCUAACGCAUUAAGCACUCCGCCUGGGGAGUACGGCCGCAAGGCUGAAACUCAAAGGAAUUGACGGAAU